rnacentral:lncRNA from 1 species
CUGGCCCCGCCCCCGGCCUCCUCUCCUCCUGCUGGUGUUAUCAGUGCUCAGUGACACUGAUAAUCCUCUCCGUCUCUCCGCCUCGCCAGCCUAAAGCUCCGUGUCAGCGUCCGUUCCCCACAGCGCCCGACCCUUUACAGCCCGCCGGCUAACUAGGUCACCCCUAUCUCUCACUCUCUCUCUCUCUAUUUCACUCUCUCUCUCUCUCUUACACUCUCUCUCUCUUUUCUCUUUAUCACUUUAUCUGUACCUCUCUCAUUCUCUCUCUCUCACUCUCUUUUUAUCUCCCUCUCUCUCUCUACCUCUCUCUAUUUCACUCUCUCUUUCUCUAUUUCUCUCUCUCUCAUUUCUUUGUCUCUAUCUCUCUCUGUACCUCUCUCAUUCUCUUCCGUUUACUUGCUCUCACUUUCUCUCCCUAUUUCUGUCUUUCUCUAUCUGUCUUUCACUCUAUCUCUACCUCUCUCUCACUCUAUCUCUACACUCUCUGGAUUUCAGAUUCUCUCUCACUCUAACUAUCUCACACCCUCUUUUGUCUUUUUUUCUUUUCUCUGUUUUCUCUUUUUUAAUCUCAUAUUUAAUCUCAUCUUUCUGUCUUUCUCUCUCUCUCUCUCUCUCUCUCUCUCUCUCUCUCUUUACCUGUCUAUCUCUACCUCUCUCAUUCUCCCUUUCUCUCUCUGUUUCUCUCUCUGUCUCUCUUUCUACCUCUCUCCCUCUCCCUCUUCUCGCUGCCUCUCCUGUUUUCAUAUUUUCGGUUUCUUACUCUCUCACAUCACAUUCUCUCUCUCUCUCUCAGUCCCUCUCUCUCAGAUUCUCUCUUUCUUUUCCUGUCUCUUGUUCUCUCACCAUCAUCAUAUUUUCUCUUUCUGUUAAAUACCUUUUUUUUCUGUCUAUCUCUCUCACUCUCUCACCAUCAUGUUAUCAUAUGUUUGCUCCCUCUAUCUUUCUUAAUUUUUCACCUUUACAUUUUUCAUUAUCUCAUUCAUUCUCUAUUAUCUCUCUUUUACUCUGUCACUCAUUUUUCUCUCUAAUGCCUUAAGUCUGCCUCUUUUUCAACUGCUGCCAAUCAAUGCUGCAUCACUGGGUAGCCAGCUACCCACCCGAAGAGAGCAUGGUUAAUUGUGCUCUCUCUCAGACUCCGGCUGCUGAAGCCUUUGUAGGUUCUUUGUGGGGUCCAUAAUCCUACAGGUCAGUGCAGUUCUGG